rnacentral:rRNA from 2 species
GCAUAUCAAUAAGCGGAGGAAAAGAAACCAACAGGGAUUGCCCCAGUAACGGCGAGUGAAGCGGCAACAGCUCAAAUUUGAAAUCUGGCCCCCCGGCCCGAGUUGUAAUUUGCAGAGGAUGCUUUUGGUGAGGCACCUACCGAGUCCCCUGGAAUGGGGCGCCAUAGAGGGUGAGAGCCCCGUAUGGUAGGACGCCGAACCUCUGUAAAGCUCCUUCGACGAGUCGAGUAGUUUGGGAAUGCUGCUCUAAAUGGGAGGUAAAUUUCUUCUAAAGCUAAAUACCGGCCAGAGACCGAUAGCGCACAAGUAGAGUGAUCGAAAGAUGAAAAGCACUUUGAAAAGAGGGUUAAAAAGUACGUGAAAUUGUUGAAAGGGAAGCGCUUGUGACCAGACUUGCGCCGGGCGGAUCAUCCAGCGUUCUCGCUGGUGCACUCCGCCCGGUUCAGGCCAGCAUCGGUUUUCGCCGGGGGACAAAGGCUUCGGGAACGUGGCUCCUCUCGGGGAGUGUUAUAGCCCGUUGCGUAAUACCCCGGCGGGGACCGACGACCGCGCUUCGGCAAGGAUGCUGGCGUAAUGGUCAUCAGCGACCCGUCUUGAAACACGGACCGAGGAGUCAAGCAUUAGUGCGAGUGUUUGGGUGUAAAACCCGCACGCGUAAUGAAAGUGAACGUAGGUGAGAGCUUCGGCGCAUCAUCGACCGAUCCUGAUGUUUUCGGAAGGAUUUGAGUAGGAGCAUUAACGCUUGGACCCGAAAGAUGGUGAACUAUACUUGAAUAGGGUGAAGCCAGAGGAAACUCUGGUGGAGGCUCGCAGCGGUUCUGACGUGCAAAUCGAUCGUCAAAUUUGAGUAUAGGGGCGAAAGACUAAUCGAACCAUCUAGUAGCUGGUUUCAGCCGAA